rnacentral:rRNA from 1 species
CGGAAAGCUCAGUAACACGUAGUUAACAUCCCCUCGAGUCUGGGAUAAUCUCGGGAAACUGAGGCUAACACCAGAUAGACAAGGAAUACUGGAAUGUUCCCUUGUCGAAAGUCCGCGCUCGAGGAUUGGACUGCGGCGGAUUAGGUUGUUGCCAGGGUAACGUCCUGACAAGCCGAUAAUCUGUACGAGCCUUGAGAGAGGAAGCUCGGAGAUGGAUUCUGAGACAAGAAUCCAGGUCCUACGGGACGCAGCAGGCGCGAAACUUUCCCAAUGCACGAAAGUGUGAGGAAGGGAUUUGGAGUGCUUUCCCUACUUUAGGGGAAGCUUUUGUGGAGUGUUAACAGCUCCAAGAAUAAGUGGUGGGUAAGACGGGUGCCAGCCGCCGCGGUAAUACCCGCGCCACGAGUGGUGACCACGAUUAUUGGGCUUAAAGCGUUCGUAGCCGGUUCAGAAAGUCCUUAGUGAAAUCCCAUAGCUAACUAUGGGGCUUGCUAGGGAAACUUCUGGGCUUGGGACCGGGAGAGGUCUGGGGUAUUCCAGGGGUAGGGGUAAAAUCCUGUAAUCCUUGGGAGACCACCAGUGGCGAAGGCGCCGGACCAGAACGGAUCCGACCGUGAGGGACGAAAGCCAGGGGAACAAAGG